rnacentral:rRNA from 1 species
GCGAACGCUGGCGGCAGGCCUAACACAUGCAAGUCGAACGAACCUUUCGGGGUUAGUGGCGGACGGGUGAGUAACACGUGGGAACGUGCCUUUAGGUUCGGAAUAACUCAGGGAAACUUGUGCUAAUACCGAAUGUGCCCUUCGGGGGAAAGAUUAAUCGCCUUUAGAGCGGCCCGCGUCUGAUUAGCUAGUUGGUUGAGGUAAUGGCUCACCAAGGCGACGAUCAGUAGCUGGUCUGAGAGGAUGAUCAGCCACAUUGGGACUGAGACACGGCCCAAACUCCUGCGGGAGGCAGCAGUGGGGAAUCUUGCGCAAUGGGCGAAAGCCUGACGCAGCCAUGCCGCGUGAAUGAUGAAGGUCUUAGGAUUGUAAAAUUCUUUCACCGGGGACGAUAAUGACGGUACCCGGAGAAGAAGCCCCGGCUAACUUCGU